rnacentral:misc_RNA from 1 species
CACGUGCAUCUUUUCUAUGUCUCAUUAGCCGGGCAAGAUGGCCUCCAACAACAUCGGUAACGAUAGCGGUUCAAAUUCAGGGCGAGUAGAUGUCGAUAAUCCACCUUUUUCAAGAGUGUUUGUGGUAUGUAGUAAGAGGCACACAUCCGAAGACAUGAGAACAGCUUUUGAGCACUAUGGAACCAUCGAAGACAUUUGGAUGGUCAAAGACAAGACGACCAAAGAAAAUCGUGGUGUUUGUUAUAUCAAGUUCGAGAAAGCUUCCUCAGCAGCCCUAGCCUCUGAGCAGCUGGAUGGAAAACAAAUUGGAGACGAUCCCAAACCCAUUAAGGCAAUGAUUGCCCAGUCAAAACAUUCAGGUUCUAAAAUGGACUUCCACGAUCCCACAACAAUGACACGUCUGUUUGUAAUCUGCCCCAAGGACUACACAGAUGACGACUUACGUUCCAAAUUUGAGAAUUUUGGAGAUUUAGAAUACGUCCAAAUAGUCCGUGACCACAAGACAAGAGAAAACAAAGGCUAUGGUUAUGUUAAGUUCAACAAGGCUUCCACCGCAUCGUUAGCUCUUGAGAACUGCGACAAGGGACUUAAAGCAGUGUGGGCUGAACCAAAGUCGUCUAAAGUCUCCAGAUAUGCAGCUGUUGCAGCUUCUUCUGUCGCUACAGCGUUUACUCCUCCGAACCCAUUCCUUGAGCAAGGGAUCUUCUCUGCCACCAUUCCACAAGCACAGCCAGCUCUUCAUCAACCUAUGGAGUUCUUUGCCAACCAGACAGGAGCUAAUGCAGCAGCAUCUGUAGCAGAAUCCAUAACAUCUUCACAUACACCAACCAGGCUGUUUGUCAUUGUAUCGGUGUCCCUAACUCAAGAGCAAGUAGCUCGUUUAUUUGAUAUUAUCCCUGGGAUGCAAGUAUGUGACCUGAAGCGCAAUUACAAUACUGGAGAGUCCAAAGGUUUUGCAUAUGUUACCUAUAACUCCGUGGGCUCUGCUAUCUAUGCCAAGGAAAAGUUAAAUGGCUUUGAAUAUCCACCAGGGUCCAAACUUGUCAUUAAAUACGCCGAGGACCCCCCAUCAGGCCGUACUAACUCAGAAUCUGGCUCGUCAUAUAAUAUGUUUGGCUCCAAGUCCUCGAUUCUUGGUCCCACUUCCGCAUCCCCUUCACUUAGUCUUGAUAAUAGUCAACUGUACACCACUGCAGCUCUCCCUGCACCCGUUCCUCUAGCAGACGAGAAUGCGGAAGUAGCGUCGCGGUUGUUUAUAGUCUGCAACCCCGCACCACCACCUGAACAGGUAUUAAAAGACGUCUUCAGUCGAUUUGGUAACCUCAUUGACGUGUAUAUGAUGAAAGACCGGAACUUUGGUUACGCAAAGUUCGCGUCCAAAGAUUCUGCUGAUGUAGCCAUUGAAGGACUUCAUGGCCAUCAAGUCUUAGGAAUGAAGCUCAAGGUCAUGCAUGCCGAUCCACCGAAAAAUGAGUCUUCUAGAAAGCGACCUCGAACAUAAGGCAUACCCAAGCAAGCAACCAAUGGCCUGUUUGUGUGUUAACUUUCAUCAACAAGAAAAGUCUGUGUCUUGCAGGUCGAUAUCCAUGGACUGCUCAACAGAUGGAAUCCAAAGAAGGCCGGUACUGAGAUCAUUCAGUCAUCAACCAAGAAAAAAGCGAAAGUUAUUAAAUUCAGUUCCUGAAUAACAUGCAGAAGCAGUAUUUUUAUACUUCAAUACAAGUAUUUACAAAUAUUUGUCUUAACUGAGUAUUUAAAAAGAAAGACAUUCAUGUAUAUAUUAUGGAAAGGAAAAAAUAGUUUAUUUAUCAAAAUCUGUCGGUUCAGAAUUCUUAAGAAAGAAUAAAGUAUUUAUAAAGAAUCACAUUCAUGUAUAUAUUAUGGAAAGGGAAAAAUAAUUAGUUUACCUUAUUCUUACUAAUUUUCGCGAUUUUAGAAAAAGUGCGAAAUUUAAUACGCGCAAAAAAAAAAAGAUUGCGCGAAAUUAGUAUAGGAAAUCGCACGAUCUCGAGUACAA